ACAAUGGAGAGUUUGAUCCUGGCUCAGGAUUAACGCUAGCGGCAGGCCUAAUACAUGCAAGUCGAACGGUAAUCACGCUUUCGGGCGUGAACGAGUGGCGGACGGGUGCGUAACGCGUA
rnacentral:rRNA from 1 species